rnacentral:rRNA from 1 species
UACGUAGGGAGCAAGCGUUGUCCGGAAUCAUUGGGCGUAAAGCGCGCGUAGGUGGCUUCGUAAGUCCGUUGUGAAAGUCAAAGGCUCAACCUUUGAAAGCCGAUGGAUACUGCGGAGCUAGAGUACGGAAGAGGCGAGUGGAAUUCCUGGUGGUAGCGGUAAAUGCGCAGAUAUCGGGAAGGAACACCGAUGGCGAAGGACGAGCACUCUGGGCCGGUACUGACGGCUGAGCGCGGAAAGCGUGGGGAAGCCAACGGGAUUAGAUAACCCUGAGU